AUUGAACGCUGGCGGCAGGCCUAACACAUGCAAGUCGAACGAGCGGCGGACGGGUGAGUAAUGUCUGGGAAACUGCCCGAUGGAGGGGGAUAACUACUGGAAACGGUAGCUAAUACCGCAUACCAUCGGAUGUGCCCAUAUGGGAUUAGCUAGUAGGUGGGGUAACGGCUCACCUAGGCGACGAUCCCUAGCUGGUCUGAGAGGAUGACCAGCCAACCUGGGACUGAGACACGGCCCAGACUCCUAGGGGAGGCAGCAGUGGGGAAUAUUGCACAAUGGGCGCAAGCCUGAUGCAGCCAUGCCGCGUGUAUGAAGAAGGCCUUGGGGUUGUAAAGUACUUUCAGCGGGGAGGCGUUACCCGCAGAAAAAGCACCGGCUAACUCCGUGCCAGCAGCCGCGGUAAUAC
rnacentral:rRNA from 1 species